GAUGAAGAACGCAGCGAAAUGCGAUAAGUAAUGUGAAUUGCAGAAUUCAGUGAAUCAUCGAAUCUUUGAACGCACAUUGCGCCCGCUAGUAUUCUGGCGGGCAUGCCUGUCCGAGCGUCAUUUCAACCCUCAAGCCCCCGGGCUUGGUGUCGGGGAUCGGCGAGCCUCCGCGCCCGCCGUCCCCUAAAUCUAGUGGCGGUCUCGCUGUAGCUUCCUCUGCGUAGUAGCACACCUCGCACUGGGAAACAGCGCGGCCACGCCGUUAAACCCCCAACUUCUGAACGUUUGACCUCGGAUCAGGUAGGAAUACCCGCUGAACUUAAGCAUAUCAAUAAGCGGAGGA
rnacentral:misc_RNA from 1 species